CCCUAUGAUGACCGCGGAGGGAUCAUU
rnacentral:rRNA from 1 species